GACGAACGCUGGCGGCGUGCUUAACACAUGCAAGUCGAACGGAAAGGCGCUGCUUUUGUGGGGUGCUCGAGUGGCGAACGGGCGAGUAACACGUGAGUAACCUGCCCUUGACUUUGGGAUAACUUCAGGAAACUGGGGCUAAUACCGGAUAGGAGCUCCUGCUGCAUGGUGGGGGUUGGAAAGUUUCGGCGGUUGGGGAUGGACUCGCGGCUUAUCAGCUUGUGGGUGGGGUAGUGGCUUACCAAGGGAUUGACGGGUAGCAGGCCUGAGAGGGUGACCGGCCACAUUGGGACUGAGAUACGGCCCAGACUCCUACGGGAGGCAGCACUGGGGAAUAUUGCACGAUGGGCGGAAGCCUGAUGCAGCAACGCCGCGUGCGGGAUGACGGCCUUCGGGUUGUAAACCGCUUUCGCCUGUGACGAAGCGUGAGUGACGGUAACGGGUAAAGAAGCACCGGCUAACUACGUG
rnacentral:rRNA from 1 species